rnacentral:rRNA from 1 species
GACGAACGCUGGCGGCGUGCUUAACACAUGCAAGUCGAACGGGUCUGCCCUGUUUUUUGCGGGGUGGGUCAGUGGCGAACGGGUGAGUAACACGUGAGUAACCUGCCCCUCACUUCUGGAUAACCGCUUGAAAGGGUGGCUAAUACGGGGUGUUCUGGCUGUGCCGCAUGGUGUGGCUGGGAAAGAUUCACUUUUGUGGUGUUUUGGUGGGGGAUGGGCUCGCGGCCUAUCAGCUUGUUGGUGGGGUGAUGGCCUGCCAAGGCUUUGACGGGUAGCCGGCCUGAGAGGGUGGGCGGUCACACUGGGACUGAGAUACGGCCCAGACUCCUGCGGGAGGCAGCAGUGGGGGGUAUUGCACAAUGGGCGGAAGCCUGAUGCAGCGACGUCGCGUGAGGGAUGGAGGCCUGCGGGUUGUGAACCUCUUUCGCCGGUGAAGAAGGUCUUGCUCUUGGUGGUGGGGUUGACGGUAGCCGGGUUAUGAAGCGCCGGCUAACUACGUG